rnacentral:rRNA from 1 species
UACAGAGGAGCCAAGCGUUGUCCGGAUUGACUGGGCGUAAAGCGCACGCAGGCGGCACCGUGCGUGGGGUGUGAAAUCUGGCCGCUUAACGGCCAGGCGCCAUCCCAUACGGCGGAGCUAGAGUGAUGCAGAGGUCGAUGGAAUUGCCGGUGUAGUGGUGAAAUGCGCAGAUAUCAGGAGGAACACCGAUGGCGAAGGCAGGUCUCUGGGCAUUAACUGACGCUGAGGAGCGAAAGCAUGGGGAGCGAACAGG